UACGGAGUGUGCAAGCGUUACUCGGAAUCACUGGGCAUAAAGCGCGCGUAGGCGGCCUGCUAAGUCGAACGUGAAAUCCCUGGGCUCAACCCAGGAACUGCGUCCGAUACUGGUUGGCUUGAAUCCGGGAGAGGGAUGUGGAAUUCCAGGUGUAGCGGUGAAAUGCGUAGAUAUCUGGAGGAACACCGGUGGCGAAGGCGACAUCCUGGACCGGUAUUGACGCUGAGGCGCGAAAGCCAGGGGAGCAAACGGG
rnacentral:rRNA from 1 species